rfam:Methylobacterium sp. Leaf456 contig_7, whole genome shotgun sequence.
CGUCGGCGCGCUUAACCCGCCGUUAACCUUUCCAAGGUACGAAGGGGCACAUCCAGAUUGUCUGGAUCCUGAGUGGGUCUUCUGUCCACUCUGUUUGAUGCCUCCCUGUAGACUCGCGACAAGCCGCUCUUCGGAGCGGCUUUUUUUUC